GACGAACGCUGGCGGCGUGCUUAACACAUGCAAGUCGAACGGAAAGGCCCUGCUUUUGUGGGGUGCUCGAGUGGCGAACGGGUGAGUAACACGUGAGUAACCUGCCCUUGACUUUGGGAUAACUUCAGGAAGCUGGGGCUAAUACCGGAUAGGAGCUCCUGCUGCAUGGUGGGGGUUGGAAAGUUUCGGCGGUUGGGGAUGGACUCGCGGCUUAUCAGCUUGUUGGUGGGGUAGUGGCUUACCAAGGCUUUGACGGGUAGCCGGCCUGAGAGGGUGACCGGCCACAUUGGGACUGAGAUACGGCCCAGACUCCUACGGGAGGCAGCAGUGGGGAAUAUUGCACGAUGGGCGGAAGCCUGAUGCAGCAACGCCGCGUGCGGGAUGACGGCCUUCGGGUUGUAAACCGCUUUCGCCUGUGACGAAGCGUGAGUGACGGUAAUGGGUAAAGAAGCACCGGCUAACUACGUG
rnacentral:rRNA from 1 species